GCCUUCGGGGUAUAGUGGUCAGCACACCAGACGCGUAUUCGAGAGGUCUGUGGUUCGAUUCCCGGCGAAGGCG
rnacentral:tRNA from 1 species